CCUACGGGAGGCAGCAGUGGGGAAUAUUGGACAAUGGGGGAAACCCUGAUCCAGCGACGCCGCGUGAGUGAAGAAGUAUUUCGGUACGUAAAGCUCUAUCAGCAGGAAAGAAAAUGACGGUACCUGACUAAGAAGCCGCGGCUAACUACGUGCCAGCAGCCGCGGUAAUACGUAGGGGGCAAGCGUUAUCCGGAUUUCCUGGGUGGAAAGGGAGCGUAGACGGCAGCGCAAGUCUGGAGUGAAAUGCCGGGGCCCAACCCCGGAACUGCUCUGGAAACUGUGAAGCUGGAGUGCAGGAGAGGUAAGCGGAAUUCCUGGUGUGGCGGUGAAAUGCGUAGAUAUCAGGAGGAACACCGGCGGCGAAGGCGGCUUACUGGACUGUAACUGACGUUGAGGCUCGAAGGCGUGGGGAGCAAACAGGAUUAGAUACCCUGGUAGUC
rnacentral:rRNA from 1 species